rnacentral:rRNA from 1 species
UACAGAGGUCCCGAGCGUUGUUCGGAUUCAUUGGGCGUAAAGGGUGCGUAGGCGGUCCACUAAGUUUUGAUGUGAAAUCCCGGGGCUCAACCCUGGAAUUGCAUUGAAUACUGGAGGACUAGAGUACCGGAGAGGAAACUGGAAUUUACGGUGUAGCAGUGAAAUGCGUAGAGAUCGUAAGGAAGACCAGUGGCGAAGGCGAGUUUCUGGACGGUAACUGACGCUGAGGCAGCGAAAGGCCCAGGGGGAGCAAAACCGGG